UCCUACGGGAGGCAGCAGUGGGGGAUAUUGCACAAUGGGGGAAACCCUGAUGCAGCGACGCCGCGUGGGUGAAGAAGCGCCUCGGCGCGUAAAGCCCUGUCAGCAGGGAAGAAAAUGACAGUACCUGACUAAGAAGCCCCGGCUAACUACGUGCCAGCGGCCGCGGUAAUACGUAGGGGGCAAGCGUUAUCCGGAUUUACUGGGUGUAAAGGGAGCGUAGACGGCUGCGCAAGUCGGAAGUGAAAGCCCGGGGCUCAACCGCGGGACUGCUUUUGAAACUGUGUAGCUAGAGUGCAGGAGAGGUA
rnacentral:rRNA from 1 species